GGGGAAACCAAGGCUUAGUGAGUUAAGGAGACUUCGCAAAGCCUUGACCAACACCAGUAACAAAUGAAGGCCUUUUAGAUUCAGAAGAUCCUGACAAAGACUGAGAGUUGAGCAGGAAAACUUGAGCUCUCUGCAUUAAAAGGUCUGUUACAUUUCCCAGAAUGGUUCCCAGUGCUGGAGAUAAUUCCUUUUCGGAGAACCUACAUUUCUCACCUGCUGAUUGCAAUUAGCCACUACCAGCUGGGGCCUGGUGUGCAGCUGAAAAGCUAACAAGAAGUGGAGACCACGCGGAACUCAGACAGGGCAUAGGAUGUGCAUAAAUAAGCAACGGUGCCUGUGUUUAUGAGAUGCUCCUGUGAAUUCGAGGCUUCCCCACCCUCUGCAUAACUCUCCCUCUUCUGGCUUUGUGCUGCACACCCCUCCCCUAACUAUAUUUUUUGUCUCUGGUUUUGUAGCCUACGUUUAACAUCACAGUCACGAAUUUACCACUAAGUACAUUUUGUUAGGCAAUAAACAGCCUUGGAAGAAAAAUGAAAUCCGACUAGGACUUCUGUUCUAAUAAUGUCUGUGAGCUGUGGUGGAUUCAGGCAGGCCCCACAUGCAGGUCUUAGAGCUAACCUUGACCAUGAGGGCUAGUGGGGCUGGGAGAGGGCUCAGGGACCCCAAUUCAACUCCCUUAUUUUAUGGGGGAGGAUACUGAAUCCCAGAACGGGAGCAUGGCCUGUCCAAAGUCUUAAAGGAAGUCACAGGACUGGAUGAAGCCCAUGUCUCCCAAACCCCAGC
rnacentral:lncRNA from 10 species